UACGUAGGGCGCAAGCGUUGUCCGGAAUUAUUGGGCGUAAAGAGCUUGUAGGCGGUCUGUCGCGUCUGCUGUGAAAAUCCGGGGCUCAACCCCGGACUUGCAGUGGGUACGGGCAGACUAGAGUGCGGUAGGGGAGAUUGGAAUUCCUGGUGUAGCGGUGGAAUGCGCAGAUAUCAGGAGGAACACCGAUGGCGAAGGCAGAUCUCUGGGCCGUAACUGACGCUGAGGAGCGAAAGCGUGGGGAGCGAACAGG
rnacentral:rRNA from 1 species